GCAGGCUACGUUCGAGCACUAUAUGAAUUAUGGGUAUACAGGCCGUGAUGGAAAUUUUGCGGGAUGUGCGAACACGGGCCAAACUGCGUUUUAUCAACUUCAGAUAAAGCACGACACUUGUCCUGUCAGGCGCGCAAGCUAGAAAGGACGCGCAUGCGCAAUAUAUGUCUCAACACCAGGCGCCAGUUUGUGCAGAGGGCGCAGGAAUUCGCCUUGGAACGCCCCCGUAGAUUGCUUCAAGAUUGACCGCGCCUGCCCCACGGUGCCUUUGGAAGUCAUCCGCUGCAGGGUCCGCACGAGACGGGCGACUAUGGCCGGAAAAGAAACAGUUCGACCCUACUUGACGAUGUCGGGCGGCAGCUGUGCAGCCACUGACCUGGACUUUGGCAGGACACUCGAUUAUGGCCGGGAAAGAAACCGCUCGACCCUACAUGACGGUGUCGGGUGGCAGCUGCAACGUGGACCAGGGUGCAAGCAGUGCAGCGCCUGAUCUGGACUUUCGGAGAGUUCCAGAAGAUACCGGAGAAGCAGCGCGGCAGCAGCGAGAGAACCAGGGUGCCAACAGAAUCCAACAGUGCCAUGUGUGCCGGUUCGCUUUCACCGACAUGGAGGCCUUCAAAAACCACGUCUACGACCACUCGCUUGGGAAAAACCACAAAUGCUCCGAUUGUGGCAAGCUGUUUAAGUGGUAUUGGGACCUCGCGAGGCAUUUACGUAGGCACGGCGAUCAAUCCUUUGAGUGCGGCGUGUGCGGCAAAACGUUUUAUACCAAGGAUGGCCACGAGACCCACAUGCAUGUAUUCCACGCAGGCGCACAGGAUUGAGAAGCCGUCGAAGGGUCUGCUUAACAUGGUAGCACACACCACAAAAUUGGUCCGGCACGUCGGGAAGCACAGUCGCAGGACUCGCAUCUGCGUCGGUCUAGCUGCAUGUUCCCCCGUGAGGAGUGACUUCUCUGGAUAUCACCCUGGCGCCAAGACGUGUCGUGUGCCCUCGCAGAAAAACUUGCGAUCUGCGCCUCAACUAUUCUAGCUGUGCGCUGACUUCUUGACAAACCAAACGGGGCUGAUCUUAUUCCUUCUGACUGCGGCUGAAGAAUGCCUGCGAAUAAAUUUCUUAGUUAUGUACACUGUG